AUAUUUGUUAUAGCUUAUUCUUCCUUUUUCUCCUCUCUAAAUUAGGGUUAGGGUUCCAUCAUUAUCAUGCCGGCAAUUAUGAUUAGGAAUAUUGCAAAAUCAAGUUCUUAGUUAUUUGAUGAUCUACAAAUUAUGAAGUUGGAAAGUUCUACAUUGGAGUUGACAAAGGCUUUGGUAUUCAAUAUUCACACUGAAGUUCGAUUAGAUCCGUAUACUCGCCAGAUACAUUGGAGUUGACAAAAGCUUUGGUAUUCAAUAUUCACAUUGAAGUCCGAUUAGAUCUAUAUUCUCGCCAAAAAGUACUACAUUGGAGUUGACAAACUCUAUAUAUUAUAUCCAGGAGGACUCAUUUUUUUUAUCCUUUUUUUUUUUUUGCUUUCUAAAAUAAAAAUAAUUUUUUUUUAAUAUACCUCUUAUUAUUGUCUCAUUUACCUAUUUCGUUGAAAAUAAUGUACUAUAUCUUUUGGGAUAUAAUAAUAGCUAAAUGAAAUAAUCUGUUAAUACAUUUUAAGCUAUGCUCCAACACAUUUUUGAGGUACUUCUUAUCGACGCACUGCAACUUUUUUUAUAGGGGUGUUCAUGAAAAAAAGAUGCAAAUCAAAGAAAUAAACGAUAUUUUGAGAUUGAUUUGAUUUGAUUUUAAAUUUCAUAUAAAAAGAAAAACAGAGAUAGCUUGGCCAAACCGACAAUAUAAAUAUCUUUCUUUUUUCAACCUGCUCUAACAUACUUCCAAAGAUUCAAAAUAACUAACGUCACAUUUUCCAUUUUACACGUUACUAAAGUUCUAAAAAAUGAAGAAAUUUUAAGGUGUUCCACGCUCUUUAAUAAAAGUAGAUUAAAAUAUAAAUUGAAUAUAGUUUUCUAUUUUUAUCCUUACUAAUUAUUGUCAUAUACUCAAAUUUAUUGAAGUUAUCACAUUGAAAAUCCAAAUGAAAGAUAAUAUUGAAUUAUUUAAAAGUAGUUUCAAAAACAAAAAUAAUAAAUUAAUAAGACAUUUCUCGAAUUGUGUUAUUUUAAUACAAACAUGUUAAAUAUAUACAAAUUAUGUAUUUAUGCGUUUAGGAUUUUAUUUUUUUUAAUUUCAUUUGUAUAUCGCUUGCAAAGACAUACAAAGAGGAUAAUUUUCUUAAAUCAUAUACACUGAAAUUAUACAACUAGACAACGAGGAUAAUUUUCUUAAAUCAUAUACACUGAAGUUAUACAACCAGACAACCGAAUAGCAAGAUACGGUGAAACUAUAACUAUAGAUUAAAAAUAAUCGAAAAUAUAACUAUAUUACAAAAUAUACUUUACCUUUUUAAGUUAUGUCAACAAAAUCUCAAUAAUUGUAAGCACCCCAACUUUCCAC
rnacentral:lncRNA from 1 species